UAAAGGUUUGGUCCCAGCCUUCCUGUUAACUCUCAAUAGACUUACACAUGCAAGCAUCAGCGCCCCGGUGAGAAUGCCCUCUGAGUCAACAAGACCAUGAGGAGCGGGUAUCAAGCACACACUUGUAGCUCAUGACACCUUGCUUAACCACACCCCCACGGGAGACAGCAGUGACAAAAAUUAAGCCAUAAACGAAAGUUUGACUAAGCCAUAUUGAUCAGGGUUGGUAAAUCUCGUGCCAGCCACCGCGGUCAUACGAUUAACCCAAGCUAACAGGAAUACGGCGUAAAAUGUGUUAAAGCACCAUAUAAAAUAGAGUUAAAUCUUAAUUAAGCUGUAAAAAGUCAUAAUUAUAACAAAAUAAGUGACGAAAGUAACUCUACGACAGCUGACACACUAUAGCUAAGACCCAAACUGGGAUUAGAUACCCCACUAUGCUUAGCCCUAAACAUAAAUAGUUAUAAAAACAAAAUUAUUCGCCAGAGUACUACCGGCCACAGCCCAAAACUCAAAGGACUUGGCGGUGCUUUAUACCCCUCUAGAGGAGCCUGUUCUAUAAUCGAUAAACCCCGAUAAACCUCACCAAUCCUUGCUAAUACAGUCUAUAUACCGCCAUCUUCAGCAAACCCUAGAAAAGGAACAGAAGUAAGCACAACCACAACACAUAAAAACGUUAGGUCAAGGUGUAACCCAUGGAAUGGGAAGAAAUGGGCUACAUUUUCUAUCUUAAGAAAAUAUUACACGAAAGUUAUUAUGAAACUAAUAACCAAAGGAGGAUUUAGUAGUAAACUGAGAAUAGAGUGCUCAGUUGAAUAAGGCCAUGAAGCACGCACACACCGCCCGUCACCCUCCUCAAGUAUCCAAAAUGCAUUCAAACCUAUUACACGCAUUAACCAUGCGAGAGGAGACAAGUCGUAACAAGGUAAGCAUACUGGAAAGUGUGCUUGGACGAAC
rnacentral:ncRNA from 1 species